UUAGAUACCCUGGUAGUCCACGCUGUAAACGAUGGAUACUAGGUGUGGGGGGACUGACCCCCUCCGUGCCGCAGUUAACACAAUAAGUAUCCCACCUGGGGAGUACGAUCGCAAGGUUGAAACUCAAAGGAAUUGACGGGGGCCCGCACAAGCGGUGGAGUAUGUGGUUUAAUUCGAAGCAACGCGAAGAACCUUACCAGGGCUUGACAUCCCGGUGACCGCUCUAGAGAUAGAGUUUUCCCUUCGGGGACACUGGUGACAGGUGGUGCAUGGUUGUCGUCAGCUCGUGUCGUGAGAUGUUGGGUUAAGUCCCGCAACGAGCGCAACCCUUAUUGUUAGUUGCUACGCAAGAGCACUCUAGCGAGACUGCCGUUGACAAAACGGAGGAAGGUGGGGACGACGUCAAAUCAUCAUGCCCCUUAUGUCCUGNGCCACACACGUACUACAAUGGUGGUCGACAGAGGGAAGCAAAACCGCGAGGUGGAGCAAAUCCCUAAAAGCCAUCCCACUUCGGAUCGCAGGCUGCAACCCGCCUGCGUGAAGUUGGAAUCGCUAGUAAUCGCGGAUCAGCAUGCCGCGGUGAAUACGUUCCCGGGCCUUGUCACACCGCCCGUCACACCAUGAGAAUCGGGAACACCCCGAGUCCGUACCCUAACCCAAAGNGGGCGCGGCCCGAGGUGGGUUCGAUAAUUGGGGUGAAGUCGUACAAGGGUAAGCCGAAUUCCACCACCUGGCCGCCGUUAUUAUUGGAUCCAAC
rnacentral:rRNA from 1 species